rnacentral:lncRNA from 1 species
CUCAGUUGGCUGUUUGUACCUGAGUGUAAGCACUUAUCUGGUGACAUAAACACAGGUCAGACUGUUGUAAUACAUAUUCACUGACUAUAGCUUUGUUAUUUGCUCUACCUUUAAGGUGAUUUUUUUUUUUCUUGAAAUAAUGCUGCAGGUGACUGGACUUGGGCACCUUAUAAGCAUGGGGCAUCAGCAGGAGAUGAAGACCUAUCUAUGAUAUGUUAUAAAAGAAGUAUCUAAAAAUCUUGGUGCUCUUUCUUCUCCAUUUAGAGAGCUUUUGUGGGAACCUGGUAUGUUUCUGCAGCUGCUGUGUCCUUGACUGCUUCUUGGAUAAGCACAGGCUGAAAUGAAAAUCUUCCCUUUAAAAGUGCCCUCCUAAUAAAAACAAAAGCAAGUGGAAGAAAAAAAAAAAAAAAAAGAAACCUUCAAGCUGUCUAGAAAGAGUAAAAUGUAGGUAGGCAAGCAGCUGUCAAAAGUUUUCAGUGAAAACGCUAUAAUUGUGUGUUUUUUUAAUGUAUGUUCUAUGUAAAAUAUGCAAACAGUAGUCCUGAUAAUGGAAUUUAAACAUUCAUGGGUUUGCAGUCCACUAUCAGCAAGGAUUUAUACUUGGAAAACUCAAAGAUAUUACUUGUAAUGGCCAAGGAAAACUUGCUAUUCAUAGAUACAAAUUUUAAUUGUAUUUUGCCCCAGAGGAAAACAGCAUGUAUCACAUUCUGUCUUUUAGAAUACUAAUAUAAGAAUAUAGUUAUACAAUCUAAUUAUAUUUCUGCAGUUUAAAAGAGACAAAACUUUUAAGUUUUCAAUGCUUUCAAAUCAAACAAGUGCUUUUGGUAUUUAUAAUUUCACCAAUUUAGUAAAGCAGUAAUAGCUUGAAAGCUGAGAGUAUGGCAGUCAGUAGUGACUAGUAAAGAAGGUAUGGUUUGCUUACAAUACCCAGUAUUGCCAGUAUCUGUCUCUUUGCAUCAAUUUCCAUGGUGAUCCUCAUGACUAUCAGCAUGCAAGUGCUCUGAUGCCAGUGUAGCUCUGUUCAGGAAAUAAAUUAAGUUCAGGAAAUUACUUAAAAAACAACAACUCAAACAUAUUUUUUCAUCACUGUUUUAGAGAACGUCAGAGUCUGAAACUUCGAACCAAGCACUUGUAACCAACAGGUAAAGGUGAAGCUACUGCUAUAGGAUAGCAGUAGCGCUCUGUGACAGGAACCACAGUUCUUACUCUCAUAAUCACAAUCCACUUUCAGUAUAAUAUAUUUUUUUUCUUUUUGCACUGCUGUUCUUAUUAUAAAGAACCUCAGAUUUUCUGAGCUUGAGUGCUUCUCUCAGACCUCCUCCAUAGCGCACUGGGCUACAGUUUCUUGGGAAGUGUCUGCUGUACAUAAACGAUUUGAUUCUUCCCUCCCCCCCGCCCCCCCCCUUCCCGUUUUGCUAAUGUAUUCAGAAAUACGAUGACUGCUCCAAAAGUAAUGCCUCCUAUUUUAUUAUGUCCCACGAUGUCAGAGGUGCAUUUUGGUGAUAUGGCAGUGGAGGUAGAACCUUCCUGCCAAUCUCCCAUUACAUUUUGUUGCUGUGCGACAGAUGGCAGCAUAGGGGCAGAUUGACAAAAUGGCAGUGUCAGUGUCUGAAAGGUGAUUGCAGUGAGUGUGGGGUUGGUCUCUUCACACUGGUGACAGAUGAAAGGAAAAGGGGAAGUGGCCUCAAGUUGUGCCAGGGGAGGUUUAGGUUGGAUAUCAAGAAAAACUUAUUUACAGAAAGGGUUGUUAAGCACUGGAAUAGGCUCCCCAGGGAGGUGGUUGAGUCACCAUCCCUAAGUGUGUUUAAAAUCUGUUUGGAUGUGGUGCUCAGGGACAUGAUUUAGCGGAGGGCUGCUAGAGUUAGGGUAGUAUGGUUAAGGUUGUGGUUGGACUUGAUGAUCUUUAAGGUCUUUUCCAACCUAAGCAAUUCUAUGAUUCUAACUGGGAAUAUAAAGACAUUCCCCCAUGGCUGGAUGCAACACAUUCUUAUUUCUAUUCUUUUCUGGUUUUUGAUUUGUCUAGUUAACUAACUCCUACUUUAGCUAAGUCUGUUAUCAGUAUUAAUAUUGAAUUUUGAGAAAAAGAUGGGGAACUCUAUUUAGGGUGUAACACUAGAAUGUAUGUUUCAGGUAUCUAUCAGUAUCUGAGGGACAGCUUGAGUAGUGAGUUGAACUGAUCUAUCCAUAUUUGCACUCUCAUAGUAAGUGUUCCUUUCCUGAAAUUGUGUGGACUAAGUAGUUGAUAACUUUUUAGUGUGCUGAUUGUUUUUCUGUGAUGAGUUUGGAUUCAGUUUUUUUGUAGAUAAGUAGUACAAGUUCUGUAGAUGUGUUAGAAGUUCUUGGGGAAAAUCUCUACUUACACAUAUCUUAAAAGUAAGUCCACAAAUUGUACUGUGUCCAGAGUUGCUGCAUACCUUGGAUGGCAUGGUUUUUGUCCCCAAACUGCACUCUUGUGUGCUGUCACAUGCUUUGUAAUAAUCUCAGUUUUAUUCUGUUACUUUUCUCUUCCAAACCUGUUUUCUUUUUCCCCUGUUUUUUUUCUUCCUAUUGUCAUCUCCUGGCUCUUGUCUCUUGCUUCUCAUAUCGUAAGGAGAUUACCCCAGACACAAUAACAUGUAUUCUAUACUUUUAGUCUCUGCUGCAGUUAAUCUUGUUUUCAACAUCAGGAAGGAAAAAUCCCUGAAACAUGACUGUUGCCAGAUUUGCUUCUAUUCUUGUGACUAUCAGUGAGCAUCAGUCAGCUGGCAUGGAAGAUACAUUCUUGUAAAUAUCAAGGCUGGUUUAUCAGAGAUUUUCCAAGAGAAAACUGUAUGUACACCCUGAAUUUCUUAUUCCAAUCUUGGUCCUCCUCCUUCUUAACACUGGGGUGCUUGUCGUGUUUCAUUUCAGGAAGAAGAAUUAAGGGUUUAUUUUAGAUUCACUUGAAAUCAUCAUAAAAAUUUGUGUGGGAAAAAAAACUUUUUUUUUCCUUUAGAAGGAAAUAAUUUUACGUACAGGCGAUGAAAGAAAUGCAUUUGCAUGGCAGUAUAAGAGACAGUAAUCAAAAUAGUGCGAGAAAAUAUAGGUGACUCUGUAAUUUAUAAUGAAUUUGACUUAAUACAUCACCAGUUCGAUAACAUUCCAUUCACUGAAUUAGGAAGUGUGUAUUUCAAUAGAGUGAAGGAAAGCUGCGUAAGGAGAAAUCUCAGUGAUAGUGGUUUAUGUGAAGCACCAUAUAACUUGCAGAUUAUUAUUUCAUUGGCUUAACUAACAUUUUAUUUCUUUAGUUUUCAUACAACGGAUGAUGAGCGGUAGUGAAAUUAUUAGUACUAUUUCUGCAUUAAAUCAAGAAAAAAAAGUAACGUAAAAAAGAUUCAUUUUGGCACAUCUGAGAAACUGGAAGCCUGAAACAGCGUUAUAGCAAAUAAAUUUUAUUCUGCAGUAUAUAUACAGCACUGUGUGUAGUUUUUUCUACAGUUCUUAUUUUCUGCAAAGUCAUAUGUUUUUAGCUGUGAUUGUGGUUUGUGCCAAAUGGUUCACCUUGUCUUGUGUAAUGAGUAUAAACAACUGGUCACUGCACUGACCAAUGAAACUAAUAAAGAUAUAUGGCACUGUGCUUGCUUAGGGAGUCACACACACAGCCUUAAACUAUAUGUGACAUUUAUACCAAAGUAACAUGGCUCCAAACUCCCUCACUCUCUGCUUACAAAUUCGGAAGAAGAGCAAACUAUUUGACUGAUGGUUUGCUAAAUUUAAUAUGCUUAGCAAGUGAAAUUAUUGCCUACUCUAAUGCUGUGUAAUUAUUAAGAUACACUGCUUUUAAAAAUACCAAGUGAAUAAUAUUGAUUUAGUGAACUGCUAUUUAGAAAAAUGCCAGCAAAGGAGGAAUAUUUUAUUUUAGCUGCCUUAGAGCUGUAAUGGGUCUGUACUGAGAUAUGCAUGUGGAAAUAAAUUAUGCACAAGGUAAACUAUUUUGUUAUACAGUACCCAUAAUAUUAAUUAAGCUGUAAUUUUACCAACAAAGCUUUAAUUUAACAAAUAAACAGGAAUCAUCUGUACAGUUCUUGGAAAUAUACAACUUUGGGGCUGUAAUAAAACAUUCAGGAGCACCUGCAAUUAAUUUUAAAGCAAAUAGUGUGACUAGCAACUUUAAAGGGUAAUUGUAAUUUAUAAUUUCUUUAUUUGACUUAUAGUGGAUAUAAUUACAGUUAUAAUGCAUUAUUAUUUUCACACAAAUGUUAGAUCUAUCUAGUUCACAUUUAAAGUGGGUGGAUUGGUGUAAUAAUAGUAUAUCUAUUUUCUACCCUUAACAGCAAUGUGCAAAGUAAUAGAUACAGAUGGACCACUGUCAGCCACAGCACUUCCAAAGACAAUUUAGCUUACAUUAAAAUAGAUGUGUGGAUUUUCCCUUAAUUAAGACAUCUAUGCUCUGUUCAGAAGUUCUGUGGAUGCCACGUUUAUGCAGUAAAUCUCCUAACCUUUUGGUAUGACUGGCUGAUAUUUGCAGCAGGACAACAUCUUGUGAUAGAAAUGUUAACAGUAGGUGACUGUGGCUGUCCUAUUUGCCAUUAAAAAAAAAGAAAACCAAAAUUUUCAAGACUAUUACACUUCCCAAAUUCCAUUUAUGAUGUUUAUUUUUGUUGAGAGAAAUAGUACUGAGAGAAAUACCACUGCAGAGAAAAGGAAGCAAUUAUACAGGCCUGUUUUGUUUGUGGCUAACAGAAUGCUGAAGUGGCAGAUUUGCAAAUUUGUAAGCGAGAAAAGCUUAGUGUUCAUCUUUAUCAGCCAAAGUGGUUUCUUGUUAGCUGAGCAGCAAGCUAGAAAGCGACCGAUUUUGACAACAUAAUUUACAUCUUUGUAUAAAACUAUUGCUGGCAGCCGAACUAAUUUGUGCUGGAUUAGGUUGUUUGUCUCUGCUGCUGACUAACCAUGCAAUCUAUCAGGGACCGUUUUCAAAUAUCACUUUUCAACUAUGCCCUUGAGAGGAGGAAUUGAUCGGGAAUAUACAGAGUAAAAUUACUCCAAUAACUUCAUAGAAAAAACAAUUACCGAAUCAUACAGAUGUGAAUAAUUCUGAAAAGCUGAAAUAAAUGUAAUGAAUUUAGCUCUGUGUCUGUCUUCAAUGUACAUGCCCAAUUUAUUAACAUAAAACAUGCUUUUGUUUCUAUUUUCCCCUGUUGCUUUGAACCUGAAAGGAGGUAUGCAGGACAGAGAGAGGUACUUAAAUAAGUAUACUUUCUGAAAUAUGUAUGUUUGUAGGAUUUCUUUUCUCUUCUGCAGAAUCUUGCAUUUCCUUCCUAUGGAACACAUAGGAAAAUCUCUGCUGUGCAAGUGCAGAAUAAAUAUGCUAACUUUUCCCACAGAGUUCUUCAUUUGGGUUUGAUAUUAAAAAGAAGCAUUAGCAACAUAAAUCCAUGCAUACUUUGUUAUAUAUUGUACAUGCAAACAUAUCACUGAUUCUUAUCACAGUGAGGAAAAAAACUGAUUUUUUUUGUUAUGAAUGUGCCAUUCUUUCUCUCCUCUAAUACUACAGAUGAUAGAAUAAUAUAAGGCAAGAAAAACUGGUUUUGCAACUGAUAACCAAUCCUUAGUCAUUUAUAAGAUGCUCUAGAUUAGCUAGCAAACAAAAAACCAUUAAGUACCUAUUAUUUUAAAGCAGUGGGUACAUUUUUCAUCACAUUUCUCUGAUGAAUUUUCACUUGUGCAUCCUGCUGGAGGUAAUUAAUUGCUUUCAGUUCAGAGGAGUAAUAAUGCAAUAAAUUAUGCUGGUAUUUCUUGUCAGGGAAGAAUCAUAUUGCUGCUUCCUUACUAAAGCAGGACUAAUAAUAAUCUAGCUGGAGUCACAGACUCCAAAAAGUGCCUGCACCAUUAAAAUUUAUGUAAGGAAUCAGAAGACUAACUACUCCCUAGAAUUACAUUAAAAAUUGGAUUCUUCUUUGUAAAAAUGGUCUCUUGUGAUGACAGCACAGGAAAUGGGAGUCUGAUGCUGUGUCUUCCUUUUUAUUUAUUUAUUUAUUUUUGACCUUGGGCAUGUCACUUAACCUGCCUAUGCUUCAUUUCCCUAGGAUGACAGUACUGGCAUUCACAGUGACCUUUAGGCUUUACAUUUGUUACAAAUGUUACUACAUUAACAUUUCAGCUGCUUGAUAAUAUAAUGAAUAGAAGUAUAGGCAAAUUUACUGUUAUAAUUAUUGAUGAGUGCUUCUGCUAAUGUUGUUUCCCUGGAUUCAGUACUAUAAAGACAAUUAUUUUAUGUAAUGUUGUCAUAUUAAAAUGGUCAAAAAGAAUGAAGUUAAAUAAUGUUUUGGGUUGUACUUCACUCGAGGAGGAAUGUAGAAAUGCAUUAGUGCCUACAGGAAAAAAAGGUAUCAAAUGCUACAAAUGUUCAACAAACCAAAAUGCAAAGUCUUACAUAAAGGAUGGAAUAGCCCAUACAAAAAUAUUGUCAAGGCCUGAUUUUGUAGAAAGCUGCCCUGCAGAAAUGAAUCUGGGAGUCCUGAUGGCUACAGGCUGAACAGACAUGUUUUGAUGUCCAAGAUGCCUUUAAGAUAGCUUUCAGCCAUGUUGGGGUUCCCAGCUUUGCAUCCUUGGUGGGUGAGUAAUGUGUGACAUCGAGUGAUGUGGCACCUCUCAGAAAGAAGCCUGGAACAGGCAUCCCUGUAUGGAAAUGAGCCUCAUUCUGCUGUUUACCAUAAUGGUAAAAGGUUGCCAAGUUAAGCAGUUAGAAGUAGUGAAAUGUUAAACUUGCACACCUGUAGAUACUGCAUAGACUUUUAACUUCUUUUACAGUUCUUUUACACUAGUGGAAAUCUUUCCUGUGGCUUAGCCAAAACCCUGUGGUCUUAACUUCACAGCCAUGAUUGCAAAGAUGUGUGGGUAACUAUGUGCUUUUUGUCUUUGUCUAUCUCAAAGAAAAUGGGAAAUAGAAGAUUGCGUCAUUGCAUGCUGUGGAUUUGAAUCUGUGCAAUCGAUGUAUCACCUGAGUUACUGUGGAAUGGCAUGUAUGACUUAUCCUUGCUUUGAGUGGGCAUAGGAAAAAGAUCUAAAGGGCAUGUACCACAAGCCAAUUCACAGAUAUGUGUUAACAGCAGACAAAAAAAAUUUGAAUUGUUCUCUUAUAAUCUGGAAUGAAGAUUGGUGUAGUAGACAAAGUGAAGCAGGAAAAUUUUCUUUAUGCAUUCACCAUUUGGCAUUCUACCAUUUCACAUCUAACCAUUCUGCACUGUUCCCACUUCUUGAAUCCUUGCUGAAGUCGUUCUGGAUCUCACCUCCAUGCCAAGUUAGUUUCUAUUGCCUCCUGGUUUUCUUUUCAGUUCUGGUUAUUGGCUCACAAAUGAAUAAUGUUUUGGUUUCUUUACUCAACUAAUUGUGUCCUUAUUCCUGGUUCCUUACUCAUGCUUCCUGAAAGGUCACUGCUUUGCCUGAGCAAGGGAAGCAGAGCUUUGCUGUCAAAGAGGAUAGAAUUUGGGAAGUUAAUUGUGAGGGAUUUUAGGAUUUCAGGAGAGUGUGUGUGACUUUGAUUUCAUCUAGAAGCUUUGAUUUGUUGAGAUUUUAAUCAGGAUGGCAGGCAUGCUAAGUGUAUUUGAAAUUUAGUGAAUUUUUCAAAAAUACCCACAAAUAUUGAUGGAACCCAAUGUCUUUAUUUAAAAUGACUUACACAAGCAUUAGAAUUUUUAAAUUGGUAGAUACACUAUGGAUGACGUGUUGUUUCUUAGGUGUUUAAGGCAUCUGGCACUUUAUGGCCACCAGAAAAGAUACUAGAAGAGAAAAGUGAUCUAAAAAAAAUCUCCCCUGUAACCUCAGUCACAGUUGAUUUUUUUGGUUAGGAAGUUGCAAAAUUUUUCACUGUGUACAUCUGUUUUUUUCCCUGCUCAUCAGUUCUGCCUGAUUGGAGGAGAUAGUGUGAGGAAAAGGCUGUGGGAUUCAUUUCAGAGCGGAGGAUGAUUUUUGUUGCUGUUGUUCCUACCCAGUGAAUAUAUAUAUAGUGUUUGUGUGUGUGGGGGUGGGGGGGGGUGAAAUGACUUAGCAUGGAAGCAACCUAGAUCAUAGGUAUUGAGAAAUAAUUGGCAAAUGUUCAGCUCUUCCAGUACUUUUAGUCUUGGCCAAGACAUACUCUGAUUUGUUCCAGUUGGGGCCUUUUUUUUCCCUAGCAUUACCAGAUAUGCACUGAAGGAGCAGUAGUGUUAAUGCAACCUGAGUGAUAGGAAGAGAUCUGGCAUUUCAUUGUCCCUUUUGACCCAAGCAGGGCUUCAGCCUGACCUUCUAGGUUAUAGCAGCUUUUGUUCUAAAACACUCUUUCACUUCUCUUCGAUGUGCUGUUGUGUGCAGAAGUGAUAGCUGGUUGAAUGGGAUUCCUAGGAGCUGAACGGCACAGCACAAUGAAUUUUGCUUGCUUGUUUUCUUUUUUCUUUUUUUUUUUCCUUUUUUUAAUGUAAGUUGUUAUUUCUUCAGUGCCAGUGAUGCUUGUAUUUUUACAGCUAUUAUAUCCUAUUUGAUUGUGGACUGAGCGGGACAUCAUGACUGCAACCAAAAUUCUAUGUAUGUUUGCUGCUGCGCGUGUGCUCCAUCUGCCAUCUUUCCAUGCAAAGUUCAGAUCCAUUUUUCCCCAGACUGUUGUGCACUGGUUUUAUUUUAACAGUAGGAACUUGUGCAAAAUGAAAAUUUCAGAAUUAAAACCAUAAGCUUUCAGCCCAUGUGGAGAAUACCACAAUUUUUCUGCCAGCUUUCUGUGAGAAAAUCUUGAAGAGAAGUGAGCCCAGAGAAAAACAUUUCCUCUUUUUACUGACGUGUAGCUGGGAGAAGUAAACAGUUACAGUUAGAUUAUUACACCAAGUAUUGGUAAUUCACUGCAAUUACCUAUUCCUGCAGAACCUUUCUUCACUUUUUUUGUCUGUUUAAGGAAAUAUCACUUUGAAAUGGAACACAAAGUUUUGAGGAAAAUUUUCCCCGUACUUAUCAAGGUUCUUCCCUCCUACUCACUCACUGUCAUAUAGGUGCUCAAGCAAAGACCCUUCCAUCCUGCUGCACCUUAUCUUGAUGUACACCCUUCUGGGUUAGGUGCAGCAAAAAGCAUGGGGCACCAUGAGUUCAGUCUUACUGCAAGUCAGUCUUCAAACCUCAUGCUGUUCUUCAUUUGAGUUUAGCUGUAUGUGUAUAUGUAUGUAUAUAUAUAUAUACACACACAUAUAUAUGUAUAUGUACGUAUAUGUGUGUGUAUAUGUGAGUUUUUUUCAUCCUUGUUUCCUGGUCUCUACUUAAAACUGUACCAGUGCUUUGUUAUGGUGAAUGGGAAUUUACUAAGUGAGUGAAUAGUCAGAAUAGCUGAUUUGGUUUGUUCCUCACUUUCAGAGAAGGGCUUUAUUUGGUGGCUGUUCUGUUUAGCAUUAUCUCCAUGCUCCAGGUACUGAAAAAACUCCUAGGUUUCAACCUGCUAAGUCAAUUUAUGUCAUCCUUGUGUACACCAGGCUGAUCUUCUGGCCCUGAUUUAUCCUGCCUCUUUUUCUGGUUUGUAGUAAUGCUUAACACAAUGCUGAGCAGAACACUGUGGUGCAUAUUAUCAACCUUUCUGGUGACAAAGCUGUUCCCUCCUCUUGAGCUGCUACGUGACAUUAGAGAGCUGAGGGCAAUAGACUUAGAAUAUUUGUCACAAAGGUGCUAUCACUUGAGUGUCAGUUACAGGAUUGAUGGGAUUUUUAAAGGCAGCUAAGAUUUUGCCCAGCUGUUCCAGUUCUCUGUAUGGUGCAAAAGCUUUCCCCUUUCACUACCUCUGUAUUGAGCAGAUGUUAAUAAUCUUAACUUCUGAGACAAUUAUAACCCUACUCCCCUUCAGCAGAGAUGUGGAUUUUGAAGAAAUUAUUUUUUCUUUCCCAUAACAGAUAUCAAGACAUAUAUACUAGUCUUUCUGGGUGCUCUAGCAGGUGUAAGAGUGCCUUUAAGAAAUGCCUUGGUAAGAAGAUCUAAUCUAAGCCAAAUCAUUUUGUAAACCCGGGUCAAUGGCAAGUAAAAUACUCCAACUGCACAGUGUAAAAAAUGGAUGUUGUCUAGACUUCCUUGUAUGUUCAAAGGUACACAGCUAGGUUGCUUUCUCCUCCUUCUGUCUUUAGUGCACUCUUCACCCGAUAACUGAUCCUAUCAGACAGUUCAACUAGUGUUUGACAGACUUACCACACUGCAGUGUCGUUCAGCAAGGAAAAAGUUUUGACCACGUAUUUACGCUUGUGAGUAUGCUCUAGGCAUGCAAUUCAGAUCUUUAUUCUGUGCAUAAAAUAAAUGUUUUGAGGCAGAGUGGAAAAGUGGUUUAUCACGGGAUGGCAUAUUCUCUUUUUGUAGUACUGACAGUGCAAAAGGAGGACAUUUUUUCUUCCACUAGAUUUGAAAGUUAGUGAUUUGGCCAGCUACAAAAUUCUGUGACAUGUCAACCACAGUGAGCCCCACUGUGAAGAGUGCGAGCUCAGCUGUCUUCAGUUCACAGGUUUACAUUAUUCUCAGCUAUUAACUAGGCUUCUCUCUGAUCAUAAAACGAGCUAGGAAGGAAUGUGGACACCAGACUUAACUGCUCCUUUACCUUUGACGAAACAUGGCUACUCUCACUUUAUUCACUGAUUGCCAGACAAUUUAGCAAAUCUAUUUUCACCUACAUAUUGAGUAAAUGAAUGUAAUUCUAGCAGUCUUAAAUAUUGCUCUUUCUUUUUGCCAUUUUUUAAAAUUCCAAACUUUUGCUUGCACACAUUGUUGCUUUUUAAUUUGUAGUUCAUACUUGGAACAAUAAGAGCAGAGUUAUCUUAUUCUGUACUCGCAGACUAAUGCCUUUCUGAUCCAGUCUUUUAGCCUCAUGAAAAGUUCACCUCAUUCUUUAAGUCCUGCUUUCCCACAGUGAGCAAAAGUUCCUUUUUUUUUUUCCAGAAAAUUAAUCUCUGUGGUUGUUCGUUUUGGGAACCAGGCGGAGCACUCUCCCUGGAGUAUGAAACAUACUGAAUGUGGAAACCUUUCUGCUUGCCAAAGCUUUCCUUUUGUGAACAUGAUAAAAUUAGACACUGUUUUAAGUGAGAAGUCUGUCACUUCCCCUCCACUCCUUCAGUCUUACUAAAUUCCAUGUUAAACUUCAAGCCUAAUGCAGUGUUGUGAAAGUCAGUCAGGUGCGCCGUUAGCAAAGCUAUGAGAGGCUUGACAUCUGAGGGAAAAAUCUAGGUAAAGAUUCUGUAAUCAUUUUGAAAAAUGUCAUGGUUUGAUGGAUAUUUGCAGUGAAUAGGCAAAACCCAGGCUUUUUCAGUCUCAUCUGCCCUGCAGACUGUGCAGAAUUGUUGAGAUCCUGAGCUGCCGGGAUUCCUGUUGAACUCACCUGUGAAUAAAGUGAAGGAUGAUAUGUCACACUUGCAAAAUGGUGGCCACACACAGCGCUUUGAGGCUCAGUGCAUUUCUCUCUCCUGGCUCUUUUUUCUUUCUUCUUUAUCAGUUGCCCUCAGAUCAUAGACUUGCUCAGGUUGGAAAAGACCAUAAAGAUCAUCAAGUCCAACCACAACCUAACCAUACUACUCUAACUUUAACAACCCUCCGCUAAAUCAUGUCCCUGAGCACCACAUCUAAAUGAUUUUUAAACACUCUUAGGGAUGGUGACUCAACCACCUCCCUGGGGAGCCUAUUCCAGUGCUUAACAACCCUUUCUGUAAAGUUUUUCUUGAUAUCCAACCUAAACCUCCCCUGGCACAACUUGAGGCCAUUUCCCCUUUUCCUGUCAUCUGUCACCAGUGAGAAGAGAUCAAUCCUGCUCUCGCUGUAAGCGCCUUUCAGAUAUUGGAAGAGAGCAGUAAGGUCUCCCCCCCAGCCUCCUCUUCGCUAGACUAAACAGCCCCAGCUUCUUUAGUCUCUCCUCGUAGGGCAUCUUCUCCAAGCCCUUCACAAGCCUUGUUGCCUGAAGAUGGCCUUGUGAUAGAGGCUCCUCAGUGCUGGGUGGGGUGGCCAGGCCUCGGCCACUAUGGCUAGUGGUCUCAGCUCAGAGCUUACUGGUGGCACAUCCACCUGCCAGGCUGCCACCCCCAGUGGUACCUGUCAGGAGCCCUUUGCCAGGCUGGCUGCUGCUGACUGUCUGAGGGCAAAUCUUCUGACAAAGAAGGUUUUCUAAUGUUGUUGUUUAUGCCGACAAAUAGUUAAAAUUUUAUAUCUAAAAGAUUAAAUACUGUAAUUGCAUAAUUAGAAAAAACGUUGCAUGAUUUAACGUAGCAUUUUUCUAUUUAUAUAAGUGACAACUAAUGGUUUCUUUUUUCUGCUAGCUUUAGGAAAGAUUCUUCAACUUUGUAAUUUUAAAACAUUUUCUCCUACACAUGUCAUUGUUCUUUUUAAUAGGAUCUGCCAGAACAACUCUGAGCAAAAGCUCUGCAUUUUCACAUUAUUAUCUCAUUGUCUAUCCCUAGUGUUAUAGCCUUACUGUGACUUCCUAACUAAUCAGCUAUUUCAACUUUCAUUCCAUAAGCUUUAUGUCUGAGUGUAAUUAAAUGAGCAUUAAGUCCUUUUUUUACUAGCAAAGCCUGAAAGUUCUGAUAUUACAGUAAUAAGUGUGAAGUGAAUUUUGAAUGGCAUUUAUAUCCUUUCAUGGGCUCUAAAUGUUUGAUUUGCAUAACUAGUUAAAAUGAUAUCAGAGUAGCAUAUUGAUUUAAUUCCAUCUCAGAAAACUGUUAAUUAAUAAUGAUAAUAAAUGUGUCAGUCCUUUAUUAUCUGCUUUGAAUUGGUGAUGAUGUCUAUAUUAAUACUACUUCAGUAAUAGACCUCUGCUGGCUAUUGUUGGCAAAGCUUUGACAGCUUGAAUAACUAGCAAUCAGAAUUUAUAAAAUUUAUUACAGAUCAGAUUUUAAAAGAAUAGUCAUUUUAUCACAUGUGUAAUUUUAUUAACACCUACUACUUAACAUUUUAUUUAAAUAAAUCACUAAGAACAGAAACUGGUAAGGCUGUUGAACAAAGAAGAGGUUUUAAUUUCUUGAACUUUUUUUUUUGUCCUUGCAAGUUAAAUUUUAAUGUGUGAGCACUCUCUUUGUGUAAAGGAGAUAAUUGGAUGAACUACGUACCUUUCAGUUUCCCCUAACACUUCAAAAGGAUUAUCUUGAAAAAGGCUAAAUACACGUAGGGGUUUUUAGUGUAAAAGAGGUACUUGCUCAAUAGAGAUUUUCUUUGUAUUGCUGUUAUUUUGCUAAACUUUUUUUUUUUUUUUUUUUUGAGAUGCGUUUUUUGUCUGACUCCAUAUUUCCAAAUGAAAUUAGAUUAUCCCCUAUUCAUUUUCUGCUACCACUGUUUGGUGUUAACACAGAAUUGAUUUGAGGUCUUUCUCUCCUCCUUCCCUUUCUGAGACUGUCAAAAGAGUCCUUUAUGCAUACUUCAUAAGACUGCAUUUCUGGUUCCUUUUUCAACAAGGAACGUCAUCUUCUGCCAAAAGCUGAGUACAUUCCUUUCUAGUCACUUGUAGCACAAUUCAGUAAGUGCAGAAUGCUGGGUUAGUUAAUGUUCAGCACAUUCUUUUUUAGACGAGGAAGUGUUUAGGAAGCCUGCUUUCAGAAGAAGCAAUGGAUUUAGUUUACAUGUGCCCUGAGUGUACGUCCUGAAGCAACUUUUUUCUUUUAAGUAGUAUGUUCUCAAUUAAUGUUGAUUACUUUCCCUGCAGCUGAAUCCUCGGGCUCUUGAAUUUUUAUAUCUGCGUUAGCUUGCACUAAAAAAUGUUUAAUCUGAAAGGAGUGGAGCUAAAUAACUAUAGUGGCAAUUCUGCUGCUGAUUAAAACUUAAUGUUAACAGUACCCAAUUAAAGUCUUUCAUGCCAUGUUUAAUACCCUGAUGACAAUCUUAAAUACAAAAAUUUAAGUCUUAUGUAUCUGUAGUGUUUGAUUUCAUACAACACCUUUGAAAAAACAGGGAUUAAUAAAAUUUUAUUGUAGAGAGCUAUAACUGAUUAAUAUGAGUAGCCCUAAGGAAAGAACAGUAAGGAGGGUGCUACAGACAUAACCAUGGGCUGCUUCUAGUUUUCCAAGCACUACACUUCUCUGAGUUACAUUCACACAGUGCUGUGUAGACACUGGCAAAUUUGUCCAGUUGUGGUUGGGAACCAUGUGAAAAUGGUUGUUGUAGCACCAAGCAUGAGCUCCUAAAUUCUGUUGAGGGGAGUUAGGAGAACUGUGUUGAAAACAAAACUUGGAUUACAAAUUGCAUCAAAUUUCUGGAGACUUAUGGUUUUGUUUGCACAAUUAUGAUAGCUGUGACAGCAAACCUUUUUUUUCUGUCUUUUUGGUUUUUUGUCUUUUUUUGUUGUUGUUGUUUGUUUGUCUUUUUGUUUGUUUCCUGGUAGUGACAGCGUAUUGCAAACAGAAGUAUAAAAAAAAAGUUUCUUUAUUAUUAAAAUUUUAAAUUUAGUCAGUGAAAUUCUUUGUUUGGGGGAAAACAGCUGGAAGUGCAUUGCUUUCUGAGAAUUCUUGCUUACCAAUUGAGUGAGAUGCAGGAAAGAGUUGAUCUGAUUUUGCUUAAUGGUAGAAAGAGGUCUUAACCAGACUUCACAGCUGAUGUUUAAUCAGACUGUAGUGCAUGGUGAUGCACUAAAUAUGUCUUUACAAAGGUACAAAGGAAAGCACAAUUUGAAUGGUGGGUGCGGCUAAGUGCCUACUAACAAGUACAGAUUGGAAAAGGUUUGUUAAUCUCCUGCACUCUGUUCCAACUAUCGAGAUCCAAAGCUAUCCCUGUGUUCCUGCAGAUAGACAAUAAAAUGUCUCACACUGAUGUCUCCCUCUCUGUCUUAAGAAGCUCUGGCCUGGAAGGUAACUUCACACAUCCAGCUUUGUCAUACCACAUUCAUUUGGCCCCUGAUCCACCUCUGAUUUAACAUUCCUCACACCUGAAUAAUGUAAAUUGAGUUUGCAUCCACCAAGUGUUUUGCCCAGCUGGUUUGCAUUGGGUCAAUAAUUUUAACUUAUUUAAGUUAAUUUUUCUGUAAGCCUUGCUUAAAAAUUUAUUGGCCUUUGAAGCCGGGAGAAAGACAGUGUCUAAGAAUAGAGGCAAAAUUUUGUGUUGUUUCCUUUGUCAGUGGGUUGCCCUUUUAUGUAUUUUCUUAAGUUCCUGACAAGAUGAUAUAUUUUGAGAUGAAUAGCCAUCAGUUGCAAUUAAAAAUGCCUUUUCUCUUUCCGUAGUACUUUUAUAAAUGGCAGUGAUCUUAAACAGUAUGAGUGGGCGUCCAGAUGCUCUUUAUAGAAAUUUUGUUAAUAAUUUUACAGAAUUCAUCUUUGCUGUGUUUAUUUGAGGCAAUGUUAAGCAGAUACCACUGCAGCAGCCUACUAUAAUGAGAAACAGAGUACAUGACUGGCAAUUGAACUUCAUAAAUGUAAUAGGAUUUAACAUUUAUCCAGAACUUUGGAGUUAAAACCCCUAGUUUUUUUUUUUUUAAUGCCAGUAUUAGACACUCAAUAGCUGCAAGCAUCAAGAAUCUUGAUUUGUUGAAUUAUUUUAUUUCCAAUAAUUUUAACAACUACACAUCAGUGCAAUUUCCCUGAUUCUUAAAAAUAAAUUUAAAAAAAAGCUAUUAAAAAUAAAAAACAACAAAACUAAGUAGCAGAUAUCCUUCAGACUUUAUGAGCACUUUGAAAUAUAUUUGUGGUUUUCUCCACUGGCAUAAAUCAGCUGUAGGUGACAAUAUAUCCAAAUAACCUCUUUGAUGCAUGGUUUUUGUUAAUAAUUAUGUGCUGCUAAUAAUUAACAGGUGUGUGAAAAAAUGAAUUAGUAAUGAGAAGAGAGUUUGUAAGCCGUCUGUUAUCAUCCCUUGACAAAUGCAAGCAAGGGCAUAAGCUGAAUACAAAGGCUCCUGAUUAUAGUUUAAUGGGAUUUGAUAAGUUAACCCCUUUUGUCCUUUAGUGAUGCUGAGUUCUUACUAUGGGAGAUAUCUGGAACUUAAAAUUAGAAACCCUGUUUUCAGUGUGAAUGUUGAAAUUUCUGUGUAGUACUAAACCUACUAAAAUAUGGACUGUUCCUGAAAUUAUGGGAACAAGCUGAUCCGUGAACUUUUUUAGAAAUUCGCUGAAUUUCAGCUCUUUAGCCAAUAAACUUUCGAAGUCAAGCUGUGAAAAAGACCACUGUGUCAGAAUAGCAUGAGAUUUCACCAGUGACUUUUGGUUUCUUGAGCAUGUAAACCCUCAAAGAAAGUGAAAUCUUGAUUCUGUGUGAUCUCCUAAGAAUGCUCAGAAAAUUAAACUUACACUGGAAGAAUAUAUGACAGUGGCCUGGGUUGAAAAAUAUCUAGUUACAAACCUGGGUGACUGCAGGUGCUUCGAUUCGGUAUUUAAAACACUUUCACUCUCUAUUAAGAGGCAAUCAACUAAAGCUGCUGCCUUGCUGCUACUAUUCCUAUAUCGUCCUUAAGGCACUUCUUAGAAGCAUGGAGAGCCUUGCUAACUAAUGAAGCGUUCAGGUCUAGCACCUACCCAUCCUGAUUUAAAGACAGGCUUUUGGAUGUUCAUGUAAUGUGAAAGUUGUUUUCUGCAAUAUACUGUGUUAGCAUUCCCCCCCCUCCUUUUUUUUUUGGAAAUAGAUUAAUUUCCUGAGAAGUAAGCGUUCUUAAAUACUUUGCAGAUUUGUGAGGAUUUUCAUUCUACUAAUCAAAGACUGGAUCUGACUCCCUGCCUACCAAGUGAUUGCAGUUGGUGUUUGCAUGUGCAUGUUGAGCAACAUGGGGAGUUCCACAGUACUCAGCUUGCAGUUCUUGUGUGUUUGUCAUCUCUCUUCCUUUUUUGGAGUAAUUAGAACAAUGUUCUGUGAUCCUUACAGAGAAGAGGAAUUUGACCAACUCCUUUGCUUCCCAGAAUUGAGACACGUAACUUUGCACAAAAUGGCACUGCACUGCAGUGCUGUUGGAACAGGUAUUUGGUGUUUUUUCGCUCAAGAGAGAGUCUCCAGAAAGUGACUAGCAGCUUGUACUGAGCUUUGGUGGGACUACAGAACUGCCCUGUACUUUGGAAACUUUGAUCAGAGCCUCCACAGUGGCUGAAUGCAUAGACUGGGCCUUAGCUUUUGUGCAUCUAUCUGUAAGCCAGGGUGCUUUGGAUAUAGUCAAGUAGCAGUUACGCGUAACAGGUCUGUGAGGUUGACUGUAUGUUAUAAUUUUGAAUUUGCAAAGGUAUUUGAGAAGGUAGGUUUUGGUAUCCAAGCCUAGUUGACAUAAGUGUGAACAUUUGCAUCAACACUUGCUAGUUCACGUGUUUCUUUAAUAUGCAUACAAAGCCGCUGCUCUUCAGCCUUUUAUUACCACUGCUUUUGAGGGGUGUACUAAAAUAUCCUUCUCCUGAUCUUCAGUUCUGCCUUCCCCCUUUUUUAUAAGCAAAUUCCCAAAGGAGAGGCUUGCAUUUGUUAACUGGUGUUCAGUGACUGGUGUGUCAGCUCAGCUGUGCAACAUGCCAACAGUAACUGCUCCUAAAUAACGUCUAUUUGCAUAGAGCAUUGAGAGCUGUGAACUCUCCUCUCAUUAAGUGUGGGAGAACUCUUGCUCAACCAGAAGCACUAAAAAUUGAGCUGCGCUCCUGUGGGGUUUUUAUAUCGUGAGCCCUUCCAUUGUAUUAUACUGCUCUGACACUUUUGGGGGUGACUGAUUAUUAUAAUAAUAAAGUUGCGAUGAAGGAAAGAAAUAAUCUAAAGGGGAUCGGAUGCUUUGGCUUCCCAUCUAGACUAUUCCAUAUGAUCUUCCCCUGUACUCUGUAGUCCUGCACAUUUCUCUAUGUGGGAGUAUAAUUUCUUGGUGAUAUUUCAACAACAAUCAGUUAACAGUGAAGUAAGGAGGAAAUGAAUAAUCUAUUGAAAACACCCCAUUGCCAAAUUCAGCACUCUUGAACUUUGGUUUUGCAUUUCUUUGUGUGAAAUUAUGUAGUGAUGUCCAGCAGUAUUUUAUUGCAAGUUAUGUUUUGUAAUACUUGAGCAAUAUAUAACUGUGAUCAAUGUUGUGACCUCAGGGAAAUUGCUUAUAUAAUUACAGAAAGUUUACAGUAGUAAGACAAGGAAUGGGGGAAAAUAUAUCACUGUAAAAUAUAAAUAUGUUUAAAUUACAUUUAGGAUUUGGAAUAGUUCCUUGCUUGUGUUUUACAGAGUAAUCUGUGAUUUAAAUCAGGUUUAGUCGUGGGUUUUUUUCUAAAUUGGGUAUUAUAAAUCAAGAGUAGUUGCAGCAUAUAGCACACAAGAGGAUUUCUUAUACAUUUUAAUGUUGCAUAAGUAAGAAAUACCAGUAGUUCAGCAGUAAAAUUGCAAAUGUAAGCAAAAGUGAAGAUUUUUCUAAAUUUAACUAGGUUGCAUUUGUUUAGUAAACUUUAGCUAUAAUUUACUGUUUUAUUGCAUUUGCCGUUGAGAACUUGCUAGCCUUAAAAAAAAAAAAAAAAAGAAGGGAGAAGGAACACCUAUAAUGUUAUAAUUGCUGGUGGGAGCAGAUAGAAGAGGGAAAAAUACUAACCGCUCUGCACACAAUAGGUUAAAGUAAAGAAAAUAAAUCUUGGUGAGAUAAUAUGUUUCUGCAGAGGUGUGUGGUUUGAGACUAAGGAACUUCUGGAUGUGUGUGCUUUGUAUUUGUGGGAUAGCACAGUUCCAAAUAAAACAUCAAGCUCAAGAUGUAGUGCAUACGCCCUCUCAAGACUUUUGAGGCAUGGAAGAUAAGGAUCUUAUUAGCUAGUUCCAAUGUUUAAGAAUAGAAAUUCAGGUAGUUAUCCUUUAAACCACAGUGAAGUUGUUUGUAAGUAAGGAGGUGUAAAACUUGGUUUGAAUUUGCUCAGUAGGUCUGUGUGUGCAUACUUUAUCUCUAGCUAGAUUUCUAUAUCUCUCUGGCCGUUAAUAUAAAACCUGGCUAGUUUAACUGUGGUUUGAAAGAAGUGAACGCUGGGAUUGGGCUGGAUGAUGUUGAUUAAUAGGUGUGCGAGGGUGAAAGACUCCAGGGCCAAGCAGUAGGUCCAUCUUGGUGGCAUCUGAUGUUGAUUGGCUUUGUCCUGCGCGGCUGCGCUGGAAGAGCGGACAUUAAGAUUAAGUGAUGCUGUCGUGUUGAGGAGUGCUGCACUGCAUCAUUCUGGGAAGAGACAGCUGUGGUGGUUAAUCCUUCAUCACCAAGGGAGUGCUGCCAGCAGAAAGAUAUACAGCCAAAGAUAACCCUCCAUAACUUGUGCUAAAGAUCAGAAAACUUUGAAUUCACAUCCAUCUGCUUAGUCUGGGGUGAAGAUGAAAGAUAGGCAGAAUAGGAAAUAAAAAAACUCCUGUGGGAUUAAUCUUAGCCACAGUAUGCAGCACACACUGAAAAGACAGGAGCUCGAUUUUUAAGUGUAUUUUAAAAUAACUGAAUCAUUGAGUAUCCAGAAAUUUAAUUUUAUUUCUAUUGCUGUAAGGUUCAUAGUCGUGAUGCUCAUUUAAUAUGUAUGCGACAUCUUUCCUGGAAGGAGUUCAAAAAAGUCGUGUUCUUAGUGUAAGGUUUAAAAAAGACAGUGUCUAUCAAUACUGCACUUCUAACUAGCUGGCACACAGGAAUGGAUGACAAUGGUGCUUUUAGCAUAAUCUGUGGAAGAGAACUUUGUUAUUUACUUCUGUACUUAGCAGGUCAAUUCUAAAUUAUUAUACAUCAGAUGAAAAUAUAUUCUGCCUUGAAUGGUUCUGAACAGAGACAACUAUAUUGUUAUGCACAAUUUAUUCAUACAAAGUGAGAACGAUUACAAAGACUAGCUCAAGUUGUCAUCUUUGGAAAUUAAUUGAUAUGAAAGAAUAAGAUAGCCAAAAGGAAAAAAUAUACAAAUUUAUUGCUUUGGAGGAUAUCUUCUCGGUAAUAACCAAAUUAAUAGAAUGCAGUUCAAUGGCAGCAGUUAGGAACAAUAAUUUGAGACAUUUAUCCAUUAUUUUAAUGUAUAAUGUCUUUUUAACAGGCAUUUCUAACCUUAAUGUCGUAUUUAAGAAAGUUCUCUAUUAAUGGUGGAGAAAAGAGGGCAAUACACUUUUUCCUACUACGAUGCUGAUCGUUAUUGCUGUGGAAUAUAGAUGUUUUUCUUUCAGCAGAUUGGUGGCUGGGUGGGGAUGGAAGUAGCAAAACUUAGUUCCAGCUUUUGUGUGCAGAGGAUGGAACAUCAGUGAUGGGUGAGAACUGCAUGCGAUGAGCCUGACCUCGGGUCUGCUCCUGCUUUAGCUGAUGAUUGGCAAUGAGUGGUUUGGUGAACCUUGUGUGGUCUAUUAGUGUGUGCGUGCUUCAGGCUGUCUAUAGAAACAGCUGCAAAAGAAGGUAGUUACGUGGUACAAAGGUUUAGUUCUUCUUAAUGAACUCUUUUAGUUGAACUCCUUCACACUUAGACUUACUGUUUCAGUGAUUCAGGUUUCUUUUCUGCCUGGGUGCUAUGAAGAUUCACAACAGCCUUCUUAUUUUGGUGUCUAAGUACUUAAGACCUGGGGCAGAUUAUCUGCCCUGAUCAUACUGAAAUGUCAACAACCAUGGGAGUUAGGCACCCAAACGCUUGAAAAGUUGGUUCCAGAGUGGUCAGUACUCUUGUAAGUCAAUAUAUCAGAUUUUGCAACUGCUACUGCAUCAUACUUUGUUCAGAGACUGGGAUCUGUUAGUGCUGCUGGAUUACUGAUAAAGAGUGUGUUUUUUCUACAUGCUUUUGAAAAUUCUUCCCUUAUUCAAUAUGUCAGAUCCUUCUUUUCUAGAGUUGUGGAUGCUUCAGAGAGAGCAACUGCAUUUUAUCAAAUCUGAACUGUAUUCAGCCUAACUACAAAAUAUAUUCUGAUUCUUUCUUAAAGUAUUAGAUAUUGGUGUUGUUGCACUGUGGUAGUGGAUGAAGUGUUCUUGUCAAUAUCUACGGAAUCUUUUGACGUGAAUAUUUCUACAGUUAAUAGGCUUUCCUGGACUGAGAAGGUCUGAAGUGGUAAAUCCAUCACUGUGUUCUCAAGUGUGUAAAGAGAUACUGUUUUAGUGAUGGUUUUUUUUGAGUUUAUUCACUUUCCUGUAAUUAUAAAAAUACCAAUUAAAACACCAAGUUUCAUUGUUUUCAGAAAAAGAGCUUUAUUUAUAUCAACAAAGUGCCCCUCAAAGUCAUCUGGACUUCCUUUGUCUCACAUUGUGCUUUUAAAUACAGAUAUGGUUAUAUUUGAGGUAAUAACUUCUCUCAGGUAAAGGUAAGAGAUAUAUUAAUGCCUCAUUUGAAUUUAAUUAAAAUAAUGGACUAAUAAAUAUCAGUUGAUUUAAUAAGAAACAAGUAUUUUUAAGUGGGCUAACUGGGUCAGUUAAUUUAACAUUUUGGCAAAAGUCCUAAUUACCUUAGUAUCUGCAAGUAUACAUUAUAGUACCAUCUUAGAAAUAAAAAUGAAUUUUUGUCUGUUACAAAAGGAAUGAAAAAAAAUAAAGAUUGGAUAGGAUUAAAAAUUGGCAGCACUCUUUUUAAGGGUAAACGUACCAAUAUAUGAAGAAUGACCACUGCUUCUUUUUAAUAACUGACUGUUCCAGAUUCAGUGAAGGGGGAACAAGGAAUAAUUAGCUCAAACUGCAGCAAGAGGAAUAUAGGUUGCAUAUAAGGGGAAUUUUUCUCAUAAGUGCAGUUAAGCGUGAGUUGACCAUGGCAAUGGGCAGAUGAUUGUAACUUCUCAGGAAGUUGACUGCAUGUUUUAAAAAUUUUUUAAAGGUUAACCAUACACGUCAUGAGCUUGAUUGCUUAUGAAAGUAUGGUAUGGAUGAGGUGUUCUUUGAUCUUUUUGAAAUCAGUUUUUGUCUUGUUUUCCUCUGAUUUUAAGUUUGAUAAUGUCUUAACACGGCCUUUUAAAAAGUUCUGGCAGUUCAGAGGUUAAAGAAAGUUAACCAUUGUGUGUAAAUUUAUCUAUUUGUCUGAAUUCAAAUGUUUAAUAGAACACAGUUUGAAGUGAGCAAACUUGUUCACAGUGAACCUUAAAAUGCCAACAAUUGGAAUGGAAUGGGUUAAUACAUUGAUUAAUGUUGUAAGUUUAUAAGAACUGGCCCUUCUCUUUGUUCUUUUUUAUCAUAUACAUUUAUCAUUUUCAACCUGGCAACUGAACCAAAUAGCUAUUUGAGUUGUAAAAGACAUGAAUCACUGUGCAAUUUCAUGAACUGUAUAAUAUAACAAAGCCUAAUAAUAUACAACAGAAUUUUUAAGCCUUGGGAUAGUUUAUCCCACUUUUAAAAUAAAUAUGGUUUAAAUGACCUAUGAGCAUUUGCUACUAUCUAUGUGGAAAACCAAAGAGCAUUCAGAUGUGUUUAAUAAAGCUGUAAUUUCCUGUCCAAACUGGUAAGCACUAGUGCUGAGUGCUUACCUUCUACUGCUGCAUAAAAACCUGAACAUUCGAAAAUGGUUGAACUGAUGGAUUAUGUGAAGAUUUAGGAUGCAGUCUCUUUGACUUAAAAGCUUUAAAAGUACGACAGAAACAAAAGUUUGAGCUUUUUCUUUUUAUAAAAAGAAAGGUACUCUGGAAAGAACAUUCUGUCUACUGUACAAUGUGCAACAAAAUGUAAAAACUAAUAUGUAUUUGUUGUGUCAGCAUCUUUUCACACUGUUGGAUAUUGCAUGUUUACAGCUGGCUGUGAAGCAGCUGUCGGUUUAUAAUUGAUGAGCAUCAUCAUUUAAAGUGUAAAAGAAAAUGUAUUGGCAUAGAGGAACGUGAUAAACUGCCAUCUAUCAGGCACUGUGGACAUAUGUGGUCACCAUUUUCUUUUAUUCCUCCAUCUUUGCCUUUCUUUGCUGCCCUUGCCAGAAUCUACAGAAGUCAUUGGGAGCAGCUAAGCCCAGCCUCUAGCCUUCUAAUAUUGCUUUGGUAGUUGUCAGAUCAUAUGAAAUGUCAAAAUUCAUGUGGCCUUCGUGAAGAGAUAUAUUUAGUACAGCUGCUGCAUACCUUCGUAGUACCUCUGACAGUGACAUAUUAGGUUUGCAGUCUUUUGCAAUCUGAUA